UAGGGAGGACCUCCACCAUUAUUGGUGGGU
rnacentral:sRNA from 1 species